AGAAGACCUGGGGCGCGCUGCUCACUGCGCAGGCGCAGUGAGCCCAGGCGGGCAGCCCUGGCCAGCAGCUCUUGUCCCUGUGGCUGGAGGCUGAAGUCCACGUAGGCCCCGGCGGGGAGCCGCUGGGGUGUAGGCCGGGUGCCUUUGUCCAAGCCUGGCGCCACUGCCCAGACACUUUACUUCAAAUUUGGCUUUAUUUUCAUCAUUGAUAUUGAUUAAAAUGACAUUCACUUGCCCGGAAAGUAAAAGAGGUCUUCAGCACAAAAUAUUGCUCCAACAAGCAAGCAUAAAUCACUGAGAUUGAAAUGUCAUCUAUCUUUAUUGGCCAACCACAUAAUCUCCAUGAAAAUUCUCAACAGAGAGCAAGGAACUCACUUUCUUCUAAGCAAAGACAAUUUGGAUUUGCCUCGUGGCACUGGCAUCUCUUCAUGUCUGGACGUCAGAUGUUAGCUUGGUGCCUUUCUCCCUUAUCAGGGGGACAUUUUGAACCCAGCCGCACCAAUGUUCUCAUGGAUGGUGGCCUUCGAUUCUUCUAGAUUCAAGAUUUGGCUCUUGUACUUUUCCUGCCAGUCCUCUACAAUGUACUGGUGGUAGGGGUCAUUGGAGUGUUCCCGUCUCUUGGAUUUCACAGUGCUCACCAGGAUGGCCACGAUGAUGAAAGAGAACAUUCCAAUCAUCACCAUGAGGUACAGGAUGACAUAGUAGAAGUUCUCAGCAUCAACUUUGGCUUGGAGGGCCUCUUGCUCAGCUGUUGUGUUCUGGCGCCAAUUGUCCAUAUAAGUAAUAAAAAUCCUUCGGAAGACGUCUUCCAGCGUCUGUGUGAAAUUGGAUAAAGUAGACAUGCUUCCCUCCUGCUGCAAUUUAAAUAAUAAAAUAGGCGAACAAGGUUAGGAAAACGGAUCUUUUCUGGAUUUGGCUAUGUAAAGGUGGGAGGGAGAUGCCAGGGUAUAAGUAAUAGUAUUUCUUCUUAACCUGGCUGGUGAUUUAAUGCAUAUUUUGUUAGUCUUUAAACUGACUGCGUACAUUUUAUUCACUUUUUUUACAAUCCAUGAUUGUUACACAGUAAAAAUUUAAAUGGCAGAGAAAAUUAUAUAUAUACACUUUGAUAUUUAUAUAUGCAUGUAAAUAAAUGUAUGUGUACAUAUGAAAAUGGAGAAAAUAUUAGAAGUACAUAGAUCAGAAUGUUAACAGUGGGUGGUGUGCUUAAAGAUAUGUAUUUUCUUCUUUAUGCUUUUCUCAUAUUCCAAAUUUUCAUCAGCAGUCUUGCAUUACUUUUGUUUUUUAAAAAAUUGGUAACCUUACAAGAGCUAGAAUAAUGCCACAUUCAUAACAAGCACUCAACAAACGUCAGUGGAAUGGACCAAUGACUCAUUUAUGUUCUCUGUUUUUAGAGAAUUGUGGGGCAUUAUGAGAUAACAUCAAGAGAAAAGAUUGCAGGGGGCAUUGACAGACUCUCCAAUUUGUUCCAUCCCCUAUGUCUAAGUGGCACAUUGUCCCAAGUAUCCUAAAGGGAGGGGUGUGUACAUCUAUAUUUGAAAGAAGCAUUUUAGAAAUGGAAGCAAAACGUUCAAGUAAGAAUUCCGCUAGGAGACGGUGCCACCUGCUGGUGGGAACAGGGAACUGAGGCCAAUCUUCUAACUCAGCCCUUGCGGUUUAACUUCACUCUUGAAUUCUGGCGCCGAGGAGAGGGGAAUCAAAGCAGCGUGUUGUGCUUUGGUAAUUAAAGGCAGAACUGGACGGCGAUGUGUCAUGGAGGCUGGCAAACCAGAACUUGAGCUCCAUGACAACAGGGACCUUACCUGUAUUGCCCAUUCUGUGUCUGGCUGGAAAAAAGCUCUCACUGUAUCCCAAAAGAAUGGUGAUAAUUCUAGAUUCUGGCUGUGAUGAAAUCAACCACCUCAUCUAUUUACAAGAAUAUUAGAAGAGAUGGCAAUGAUUCUGGAGUGGAUUACACCAUUUGACUGAGGAACUACUGGAAUUUUCUUCUUCUCUAAGAUACACACAAGCAUGACGACUUCCAAUGAACAGGCCUCACCAAGAACUCUCCAAACAUGUAGGGUUUCUUUAGUUUAUCAAUGAAACAAGCAACUUGGUAGGAUGCUUCUGAAAUGCCGCUGCUGUGAUAGAGCAAACCAAGUUUUGAUAAAGUUGAUUCUCUUCUGAUGGAGCCUUCCCCCAAGGUGCUUUCCCAGCCUUGCUGGCUUCAUGCUUCUGGGAUUGAGAAGCUUGUCACCAUCAUCAACAGGCCUAGUUUGCAACGGAAAGCCAGAGAACGUCUCAGCUUCCUUGUGUUCUGUUUGCCCUGACAUUACUGAACUUUAGCAAGACCCAAAGUUAACAAAGACCCCUGUCACAGGCCGAAUGGCAGGGUAUGUUCUUUGAUUUCUGUUAGUGGAAAAUGAAUGUAACACAGAGAUCACAUGGGCUGUGAGGCCCCCCUGUAGCCUCCAGCACCCUUUCUUCCUGGAGCAUGAAUCUGGACGGAAAUGGUGCCGUAUUAGGUUUGUUUUACAAAGAUGAUUUUCAAAGAGGAAGAGGAUCAAAAGAAACAGAAAAGAACCCCCAGCGUGCAGGCCACAGGUGUGUGGGGGUUAAAACUGGAUGGGAAGGAGAGGGGGAAGUCCUGGAACUCAAGGAGGCACAACCGUGGGGGCUUCAUUUUCCCCAGGAACUAUAAAAGGCCAAUGGGCUCUUGUAGGAAAAAAGCAGAUCAGCACAGAUGGGAGCAGAGAAAGGGCUCUCACAGCAAAUUUUGCCGGCUUUCCAGUUUUUCCAUAGAUCAGACCACUUUUUGGCCUUUGCUUAGAACCAUCAAGCUUCCUCCUUAGGCAUCCAGCACAGCUCUUUCCAUAUAUGUGGCGGUUUUUUGUUUUGUUUUAAUAAAGAAAAAUGUUUAUAAGCAUUGUACACAUUGCAUACUGGAAAUCUGCCAAGAGAGUAGGUUUUAGGUGCUCUUACCACACAUACCCCCCCCCAAAACACACACGAACAUGGACAUGUUAAUGGUUGGUGUAAUAUGUUAACGGUAUGUUAAUUUGCUUGUCUGUGGUAAUCACUCCACAUAUGUACGUCAGAACAUCUUGUUGCAUAUCUUAAAUACAGACAAUAAAAAAAGAAAAUCUUGGCUGGGCGUGGUGGCUUUUGCCUGUAAUCCCAGCAUUUUGGGAGGCCAAGGAGGGAGGAUCACAUGCCAGGAGUUCGAGACCAGACUGGGUUAACAUAGUGAGAUCCCAUCUCUACAAAAAAAAAUUUUAAAAAGAAAAUCUUUGAAAAGUUAAAAGAGAAAUAUUGAAGAACAGUGAAAACAGGUGUUAUAGAAAUCAUUUUAGUUCUAUAUAAAAACUUUUAUUUGUUUGUAAAUAAAAAUAUUUGAUAUUUACAUUC
rnacentral:lncRNA from 1 species